GUGGGGAAUAUUGGACAAUGGGGGAAACCCUGAUCCAGCCAUGCCGCGUGAGUGAUGAAGGCCUUAGGGUUGUAAAGCUCUUUUACCAGGGAAGAUAAUGACUGUACCUGGAGAAUAAGCCCCGGCUAACUUCGUGCCAGCAGCCGCGGUAAUACGAAGGGGGCUAGCGUUGUUCGGAAUUACUGGGCGUAAAGCGCAUGUAGGCGGCGAUUCAAGUCGGGGGUGAAAUCCUGAGGCUCAACCUCAGAACUGCCUUCGAUACUGUAUUGCUGGAGUAUGGAAGAGGUAGGUGGAACUGCGAGUGUAGAGGUGAAAUUCGUAGAUAUUCGCAAGAACACCAGUGGCGAAGGCGGCCUACUGGUCCAUCACUGACGCUGAGAUGCGAAAGCGUGGGGAGCAAACAGGAUUAGAAACCCGUGUAGUCC
rnacentral:rRNA from 1 species